UGGAGUAUUAACAAACCGAGGAAAAGAUACCAAAAAUAAUUUUCGGCGGUGAAGAAAUAAAUCGGGGAAGCUAACCGGCGGGGUUAUACUCUCAUUCGGCACUCGAGGGAGGCCCAGAUGAAGAAGAAGAAGUGUUUGAGUGCGCGAUGGUGGAUUUCAUUGUUUUACCGUGACUUAUCGACAAGUGAAUUAUGAUAAUUUAUUGUGACAAUAGACAAUGACACUUUGGAAAAGUUAAAUCAGUGGGUUUGAUAUGCAUCACCAAAGAGGACACUCAAUUCAAUAAUAGGAGAACAACCAAGUGCACUGGAGCAAUGAAAUGGCAUAUCGCAAGACGUACCACAUAAAGUCCAAAUGCUCGGUUAACCCGAAACCAGAGGAAAUGACUCUCGUGAGGUAUUCAACCGAUGGUCUUGUAUAAAUUAGCCCGCGAGUUGGAACAAUGGGUGGUGAAUUUGAGUCGAGGUAAAGUGACGUAAUUGAAUUGGAACUGAUCUAUCCGGGCUUUCCUUCCUCCGCAAAAUGUAUAGAUAUAAAUGGUGCAUUGAUACUGUGCGCUGAAGAAAGAUGAGAGACUCUCAUACCACGAUGGAUGAACGCGAGGAUGAUGUCUCGAUGAAUUUUUAAUCCUCAGCAUUGCUCAAUCUUGAUGCAUUUCGCUCCAAAUACUUGGAAGUGCUCUCAUGAUUUAUCACAGAAUUCGUCUACAAGAAGAGAGCUUCAAAAUAGAUGUAAUUAUUAAGGCAUCCCAGUGUCGGAGAGUGACAAUAAUGAUAGAAACGACUCAUGACUUGACAAUGUAGAAAUUGUACCUUUACAUUGAAUAAAUAUCGAUAUUCGUCCAAAUCCCGAA